CCACUCCCCUGGCUCUCAUACCCACACAUGCUCUCCAUCCUCCCUCAGCUCCUUCCAAAGCAGCUCCUAAUUCUGCUGGAAGUCCUAGAGUGUGAGGGCACGGAUGGAGGCUCCUGACACAGGUGAGGGGAUAAAGAGGCCUGUCCCGGCUGCCAAACCCCUCAGGAGGAGGAAGAGAGCCAUCAUGUGCAUCUCUUACUGUGGAGCCCCCAGAAAAACCCUUCACUUGGGGCCUGUCACCUGUCAGCAUGUACUGAUAGGCAUUGUCAGAGAUGGAGAAGAUGUGGGGCGGCGCCUCGCUCCUCUUCUUGCCCCGGUUUCCAAGAUCAAAGCUGCCACCCUUCUCUGAUUUUCCAGGGCUCAGGCACAGAAGCCGGCAAUUGAGAUGCACCGAGUAUACUUGAGGCAUGGCAGAGCCAUUUCAAAGCCAGUAUCUUCACCAUGGGCCAGCCUCCAUGGCCAUGGAGCUGGGAAACCUUUCCUGUGUUUAGUAAAUCAACUGUGCUUUGUUUUCCUCCUGAUGGGCUUGGGGGCACUGGCUACUGGUAUUACAGUAUUACUAUUCUCCACACCCCAUUGCAGAAUAGAACUUGGCUUCCCUGCCUCGAGGCUCUCCGCCUCAGAUCUCCAGUCUGGAGAGAGUGGAGUGUCUGAUGUCCUUAAACAUCCCCACUCAUCCCGCAACCCUCUGGCACCUGCUUUUGGCUCCAUCAUGAUUCUCUUCCUUCUGCUCACUAUUAUAUGAACUGAGAAGCUUUGCUGAUUCCUUCA